rnacentral:lncRNA from 10 species
CCCCAAGUCCCCUUGGGUCUGCCCACCACCCCUAUUAUGCACAGCUGCUCCUGCCCAGGUUGCCUCCGACCCUUAGCUCUGCAGGUCAAGGAACCCGCCCAGCUUGCCUCUGACCCUUAGCUCUGCAGAUCAAGGAACCCAGCUUUCCUGAGGGCAGGGCAGCCUUGGUGGGAGUUUGACAGGGAGCCCUCCAGAAGUUGCCUGUGGUAAGCCUGCGGGGCUGAAGAAGGUCCUUCCUCAUCCAGAAUGGCCAGAUGAGAAUCAGCCUGGACGGCACCACUCCAACGUGCUGGGAGUACCACGAUCCCAUGGGGAGCCAGCCAGUCCACAUCAGGGGAGCUCAGCACAUGUCCAAGAUGGCCUUGGAAACCUCCUUCACUCUCCUCCAGCCAGCCUAAUUGGGGGCCACAUCCAUGGUUGUACCAUCAGUUAUGGAUGUUCUUCUCAGAUAUCCUAAUUCUUUCCAUCUGUCAUGCCCUUGAUCCAACUAGAGCUGCUCUGCAGUAUCACAGACAGCGCCAGAGCCUCGUCUCUCUUAUUUUCUCCCUCCUGGAUGCUCUUCCCUCCUAGCAGAGAAGUGAAAGUUGACCUCGACCAGUUGUCAGCUCCUUCCCUUCCCCUGUUUUCCUCUGGACCACAUCAUCCAGCUGAACCUUGGUAAUUAUCCACUCAAGAAAAUAAAGUGAUACAGGAAA